rnacentral:rRNA from 1 species
CCUACGGGAGGCUGCAGUGAGGAAUAUUGGUCAAUGGGCGCGAGCCUGAACCAGCCAAGUCGCGUGAGGGAAGACGGUCCUAUGGAUUGUAAACCUCUUUUGUCGGGGAGCAAAAGACGCCACGCGUGGCGUUCCGAGAGUACCUGAAGAAAAAGCAUCGGCUAACUCCGUGCCAGCAGCCGCGGUAAUACGGAGGAUGCGAGCGUUAUCCGGAUUUAUUGGGUUUAAAGGGUGCGUAGGCGGAAUGUUAAGUCAGCGGUAAAAGCGAGAGGCUCAACCUCUUCGAGCCGUUGAAACUGGUUGUCGUGAGUGAGUGAGAGGUAUGCGGAAUGCGGGGUGUAGCGGUGAAAUGCAUAGAUAUCACGCAGAACUCCGAUUGCGAAGGCAGCAUACCGGCGGUCAACUGACGCUCAUGCACGAAAGUGUGGGUAUCGAACAGGAUUAGAUACCCUAGUAGUC